rnacentral:rRNA from 1 species
UACGGAGGGGACUAGCGUUGUUCGGAAUUACUGGGCGUAAAGCGCACGUAGGCGGAUUUGUAAGUCAGGGGUGAAAUCCCGGGGCUCAACCUCGGAACUGCCUUUGAUACUGCAAAUCUCGAGUCCGGAAGAGGUGAGUGGAAUCCUAGUGUAGAGGUGAAAUUCGUAGAUAUUAGGAAGAACACCAGUGGCGAAGGCGGCGACCUGGGUUGACACUGACGCUGAGGCGCGAAAGCGUGGGGAGCAAACAGGAUUAGAACCCGU